rnacentral:rRNA from 1 species
UACGGAGGGGGCAAGCGUUGUUCGGAAUUCCUGGGCGUAAAGGGCGCGCAGGCGGCUGCUCAAGUCAGGCGUGAAAGGCCUGGGCUCAACCCGGGAAUUGCGCUUGAGACUGGGCUGGCUUGAGUGCGGGAGAGGAUGGUGGAAUUCCCAGUGUAGAGGUGAAAUUCGUAGAUAUCUGGAGGAACACCGGUGGCGAAGGCGGCGUCCUGGACUGCAACUGACACUGAUGAACGAAAGCCAGGGGAGCAAACGGG